UUUUGUCUUUGGCGGUUUGGGCUGCUUGCUGGGCUUUUUCCUUUGCAGCUUGGGCCUUAUCUUCUAUGUUGCCAAUCAUUUGGUUGGUCUUUUCCUGAUCCACCAAUCCAUCAAAGCACGAUUAAUUCCUCUUUUAUUUUUUAUUUUUUUAAAUUAAAAAUGGCAUUAGCAUAGUCAUUUUUAUAACACUCGGCAUUUGUUAAACAUCUUGCUCCUAAAAAAUAUAGAAUGCAAUACUUAAGAUCAGAAAAUAAAGGAAUAUAUUUUAAUUAUUGUUUCGUGGUUAUCGGUUUGGGAAAUUUAGGAUUUUCACAUCAGAAAAUAAAAGGAAUAUAUUUUCACUGUUGUUUUGUGGCUAUGAGUUUUGUAAAUAUAGUAUUUAUUGAGAAUUGAGUAAUUUAAUUUUGAGUUUAGAAGGAUAAGUGAAGAAGAUGAUGAUGAUGUUAUUAAGGGUUUCUUUAAUUUUAAUAAAUAAUUUUUUUAAAAUAAAAAUAGUAAUAAUAAUCCUGUGUAACUUGCACUAUAAUUUUUUAAUAAAAAAUAAAAACUAUGAUUUAUUUGUAUAUAUUUUAUAAGAUAAAUAAUUUAAACGAAAAAAUAAAAUUCAAUUAUAAUACAUUAUUAAUAUAAAAUUCUUUAAUAACAUUAUACUUGUGACCCAACAUUACACUUGUGACACUUGUGAGCUUCAUUGAGAAUGUAAAAACUAUGUAUAUAUAAAUUAAAUUUAGAAUAAAAAUUAAUAUAUUAUAAAUAAAUAAAACAAAAAAAAAUUCAGAAAUAAUUUUGCAUGAAAUUUGUUAUAUAUAAUAUACCUCAGUUCGGCCCAUGGUCUCACCAGCUUUGUAGCUUUGGUCGUGUGAUGCCAUUUUUGUUCUUCAAAGAGUAUGAAUGAUUUCACUCACUAGCUAUAUUAUACAAACUUUCCUUUUAUGGUAUUUUGAACACUUUAGUUUUGGUGACGAGGUUUGAACAACUUCAUUCAUACUUUAUUUAUAGUAUUUCAUGGCCUGUGUAUGAUAAACACGUGUUCAACUUCUUGACACGUACGUGUACUUGCACGUGUCGCUCAAAGACAAUGGUUAUAAACUUGAGAUGAGGAACUAGCCUGUGAAAGUUUGCCACGUUUGUUUUACUUUAUUUCUAUACGAGGCGCAGAGACACUGAAUUGAUGAGUCAUGAGCUUUAAAAUUGUCGUUUUGUCAAAAGAUAUUUCAUCCAUUUUAAAAGUGUAACUAUAAUUUUUUAUAUUAUACUCUCAAAUAUAUCAAUAUAAUUUUGGAGAUAAUUAUGAUAAAACUAAAAUAUUUGUAAUUAUUUAUUAAUUGUAAUUAAUUAUAGUAUAAUUUUUUUUAUAUUGAUAUUAUCUAAAAUUAAAUUUUAAAAAAUAAAUGUGUUUAAAUUUUUUAUUUAUUAUAUUAAAAAUAUAAAAAGAUAAUCAUCAAUAUUUUAUUAAAUUAUUUAUAUUAUUUAUUUCAGUGUUUUUUACAAUUACUAAUAUAAAGUGUGAUAAAUGUUUUAGAAGUCUAGUGUACAUAAUAUUGAUCGAGGUUAAAAUUAAAAAGAAAAUCAAAAUUAUUAUAAAAAUUAAAAUAAUAUUUAUUUUAAAGUGAUUAUUUUUAUUAAAAUGAUAUUCAUUUUAAGAUAAGAGAAUAACAAUUUUUUGUUUGAGAAGUUAAUUAUAAAUUUUGCACAAUAGUUAUUAUUUUAAGUGUUAACAAUUUGAUAUCGUUAACGGUACAUAUUCACAUAUACGAGUAUUUAAGAUAUUAUAAUUUUGUCUCAUUUAUAACAAUUUUAUAAUUUUAUGCAAUUAAAAUAGAUAUUUGAGUUACUUUGUACAUUCAUCUAUUUUAAUUUUAGUAGUUUUAAAUUUAUAUUAUUUUUGAUCUAUAUAUAAUUUAUUAAUUUGAAUGAAUAAAUAUUAUUUUUCUAAUAAAAAAUUUAAGAGAUACAUUUAAGAAAAAAAAAUUAAUGCAUCUAAAUUAUUAGAGAAAUCAAGUAACGGUUCUUAAAAAUGUGAAAUAAUUAAUAUUCAUUAUGUCAUAGUUAUGAAUGAAAAUUUACUAAUACUCCCUACUAAGUGAGGGCAUUUUCUUCAUUUUAUUAUAGAACAUCCUCUAGGAGAUUGUCAAAUUGCAUGAUAUAACGUCUGAGUAUUGUUUCAGGUUGAGCUAGCUCUUGGAAUGAAGUUAAACAUAACUUCAACCUAUAGACCUUAGACAAAUGGUUAGUUGGAAAGGACUAUACAAUCUGAAUUAUACCAUUUGAAGGUUUGUAUGGAAAGAAGUGUAAAACUCCACUUUGUUUGUUUGACACAAGAGUUAGUUAGUACUUUGACCAAAAAUAAUUCAAGAUACGACCAAAUAUAUCAUAAUGAUUUAAAAUCGAUCCAAUAAAAACCGCAAACCAAUAAUCGUCUAAAACAAAUUAAAAACUGCCACAAAACUAAUUAUUGUUGGACGUGUUUUGAUACAUUUUAAUACUUAUACAUUUAUUUACGAUUAGUAUGAGAUAUUGUAUUAAAUUAUUAUUUAUUAAUUUUAAUGAUUUUUUUAAUAAUAUUUAUUUGUUUAAUUUUAUAUAAUUUUAUUAUAAUUUCAUGUUUCAAAUAUAAUCGAUCAAUAUUAUUUCAUAAUAUUAAUUUUUAGUAUAUUUUAUAUGUAAUAUUUCGCUUCACACUUGAUACUUUAACAUGGUUUUAUAAUAUUAGUAUUAAAAUAUUAUUUUAAAAAUUUUAAUUUGGUUAAACCAAAAACCAUAUUAAUUUGUAUAUAAUCAAAUCGGUUUGUUUUUAGAAUUGUCAUCCAAACUAAAUUUAAUAACAUACAAUUUAGUAUUAGGAUCAGAUGAUGUUUUGCCUCAUAACCGAUCCAAACUAUAUAGCGUGCACUCUUAAAAUUUAUACAUUUUAUUGAAUUCACGUAUAAAAACAUUUAUCAUUCUAGUAUUGGAAUUGUACCAAGAAAUUAGUUUGAAACAAGAAAAUACUUGAAUCAAUUCUAAUACUAGUAUUAUGAUAUUUUUAGUUGUAGCUUGAACUAAUUCCGGUUUAAGUACUAAAAAUAUCAUAAUAAUUAAAGAGAAGAUGAGAGUAGCUAAAAGUAGACAAAAUAAUUAUCACAACAAAAGGUUGAAAAAGUUAUCUUUUUAUUGGACUAUAUGAAGUGUUGGAAAAGAUAAGAGUUGUUGCUUAUCAUUUUGUCUUGCUAGAGUUUUUGUCGAAUUUGCACAAAUUUAGAAUAACACUGACGAGACAACGCAACUAGUAGUCCAUUGCAGUUUUAAAUUUCUUAACGAUUGGCUGCUAGUGCAUCAAGUUAAAGAAGUCUGAAUUGUUCUUGUGUUGCAGAUAAGGGUAAACCUGGGAAAAAGACUAGCGAAUACAUAUACAUUAUGGUGACAAUGGUAUUUUUUUCUACUAAAACCUGAAUGGUUUUCUUCUGUGUGCUCAGUUAUGGAAGGUGAGGCUUAUGAAUUUCUUCAUGCUUUGUAAUGGGUUCAAUAGUUUUAGAUUGUAUUAUUUGAUUUCGAGUUGGACUCUAAAUAUGUAGUUGAUAUGUAAUGCUCCAAUUUUCACUGUAGUUUUUCUUUUUUUUAAAUCAAACAUUUCUCAAAAAUCUUUUAAAGAUAAUUAAUUAACAAUGCAUUUUUACGUUAACGAAAAACUUCCAAAAUCAAACUUUUUUAUUUCAAAUGUUAAUUACAUAAGUUAUAUAAUAAAACAAACAAGGGUUAUCCCUUAACAACUGGGUACCAUUGACCCCCUAGCUACAUUAAACUAUUUACACUGAAAUGACAAUCAAAGCCACGAUUCUGCUAUACCUUCAACGUCAUUCCGAACUCUCCACAAAAGAAUCCUCAUAAUCUGAGACGUUCAACCCAGUCCACAACAAGUAAAAGGUCACCAAUCGAAAUUAACACAUAACAAUUAGAAAUUAUAAAACAUAAGCUAAAAUUAAUACAUCAUAUAUAUUUUUCAUAGUAUCAAACAUGACUCGUGUGUCAAAGCAUCUUAAUGCAAUGCAUAUAUGUCAGUGCAUAUGAUUCUAAAACAUCACCUCGCCUCCGAAAGGGUGGUGGAUCACCGUCUAACACGAUCUACAAUUAUGAAGUCUCAAAGGACAUUCACGACUCCAAUUCUAAUUCUGUAAUUGUGGGCUCAAACUAAUUAUGGAUACACUAUGUGACUCCAUCAAAUUAUGUAUCCCAUUGUGAUUUCGACCAAUUAUGAACGUCAUGUUACUAUAUAUGCAUACACUUAUAUAUAUUUACUCCCACAUAUAUGACCGACAAUGCAUCACACCAUAAUCAUCAUGUCAUAAGGCAUUAUGCAUAAUCAUAUUCAUUAUUAAUAAGGACACCGAUGUAUUAUUCAAGUAAGCAUCAAGAAUAAUAACAUAAACACCAAGUAAUAACACCAAUUAUCAAACACCAAGUAAUAGUACAAAUACUAAAAUACCAAAGUAAAACACCAAAAACAAGUAUAAGCUAAAUAUAUUUUACUAAAAAGGGGAAGACACCCUUACCUCGACGACAUUUUAUUACACAAGAAACUUACUCUAGGUCAGUAUAACUUAUCCGACGAUUCCAACGAUACCUCUUAUUCCUUGUACCUUAAACCAAUCAAUAGACUUAAUCAAUAAAAGUUUCUAAAAUAACUCUCAAAUGAACUUUAGGUUCGACUACUAUCCAAAUCUCUAACUUGUUAGUAGAUGAUGGACAUUGAAGGUUCAAUUUACAUUCAUUUUCGACACAUAAAAACAUCAAAAUUAAUAUAAAAUCUUAUAAAAUCCUUCCUAGCUAGCUGCCCACUUAGAAACACAUUAACAAAAUGUACUCACCUAAGCUUUCAUUAGUCUUUUAUUUCUUGUUGUUAUUUACUAAUAACUUUCUUUGUUUUCAGAUAUUUGAUUAUCUUUAUAACUUGCAGUAACAAGAUCCUUAAUCACAUUCUUCUAUUAUUUGGUAUUAAUGCUAUAUACUAUAUACACAUCAGUUACUCAUCAAAAAUAUAUACUUUUUUUUCCUCCACUGUGAAUCCAAUAUUUCAACAAUGAACUUGUAAUAUGAAGAAUAAAUUGUGUAUACAUAAGAAAAAACUAAUGUUUAUGCUCACCUAUUUGCAAGCAUGUCACUAAUAUCUUUUAUUGUUUUUAUUUGUUAUAGUUGUAAAAAUAAUAAAAGUGAGAAUAGUUUUAGUCUUUUAAAAAAAAUAUUUUACGAAGCAGAUCAAAACAUAAUUUAAAGAUAAAAAAACAGUUUUUACGAAGCAAAUCAAAACAGAACUUGAAGAUAAUCACCAAAUAAAUUUAUGAAAAAUAGAACUUGAAGAUAAAAACAGAACCUGAAGAAUGAGCUGAAAAGAACAAGUCUUUAGUUGUCCGUAUCAAUUGCCAAAAAUUGAAACCUAAAAAAUUCAAAACUGAAAUGAAACGUAUCAGAUGCAAACAAGAAGCUCCAAGAAGGUCACACAUUCACUGCCAAUUUAAAGAUUGAUUUUACUUACACUUCUAAUCCUCUAAAAAGUGAUAGAGGAUUCACCGAGCAGAAGAGAAUGUUGGAGAAACUUACGAUUGGCUGAAUUAGAGGGGUGACGUAACUGUGAAAGGUAGGGUCGAAUGAGUCGAAAUUGUGGCGUAAAAAGGAAACGGUGGUGUUACGACAUGAAACGGAACGGUGGUGAAACAAUGGUACGUGGUGAAACUGUGGUGAAUAGGAUUUUAGGGAUUUACAUGAAAGUGUUAGUGUUGACUUCUGAAUUUUAAAGGUUUCAGAUGGAAAAGAGGGAAUCUGAAAGAAAAGAGCGAAUCUAAAAAAAGAGGGAAAAUGAAAACGAGCGAAAAUGGAAAAGAGGGAGCACACUUAUUAUAAUGUUAGCCACAUUCAUAACCGUGACAAAUUUUUUUAAGUUAUCUACGGUCAUCGUGAUCGUGGCUAAGUAACCGUGGCUAAUCGCCAGUUUUCUUGCAGUGAUACUCCUUUUGGUAUACAUCAUAAUUGGUGUUAAUAGCAAUUCCAGGAUCAUUGAUCACAAUGUAUUUGAUGCCAAUGUUGUGUAUUCUUUCCAAAAAAUUUAAAAGCUUUGGAAGAGGCUAGUUAAUUGGAUUGAUUCUUUUCAAAAAUUACAUCAAGUGGGAUUUUGGCCUUCUCUCUUGUAAUAAUCCAUGUAUUUCAAUUAUGAGUGUGUACAAGAAAAAUAUAAUUUUUAGCGUUUGGAUUUAGAUAUUAAAAUUUACGAUUUGAAGAUGAAAAAAUUGGGUUUGAAGAAGAAGAUUGUUAAAUUUUUAUUAAAAAAAUUUGGGAGUUCAAGAUAAAAAUAUUUGAGUUUUUAUUAUUUAAAAUUGAUUUAUUAAUUAAUUAAUUAGUUUUAAGUUUUUAUGAUUAAUUGAGUUAAUAAAAUGAAUUUUAAUUUUAAAUAUUAAAUAUUGUCUAGUCAACAACAAUCAUGUGCCGCUUCAUCUAAAAGUAGUCAUGUCCCAAUUUUUUACUGAAAAAGAUUUACAAAAUAUCUUUUUAAAACUUGUUACAAUUUACAAGAGUAUAAAUUAAAUAAAUAAAAAAAUUACCGUGACUAAAAUUAAAAUAAAACAUAUUUGCAAGUAUAAAAAAUAUAUUUAAAUCAAUAUUAUUUAAGUAUCUUGUAAUUUUAUGGCACAUUAUUUUGUUUAGUCACUGAAUUCAUUAUUAAAUGAGUCAUAUGUACUUCACAAAUAAAUUUCUCAGUAACAUAAAAUUUUUAUAAUAAAUUUACGAAUAAACUUUUAUCCUACAAAAGUUGUCCUUAUGUUGAAAUAUAUUGAGAUUAAAUUCUAAUGAAAUUCUUAUUAUUAUAGUCAAUAUAUAAAAUUCUCGAUUAAAUAUUAAUGUCAUUCAAAGUCUGUCAAAAUUUAAAUAACAAGUAAAUCUUGUCUUUUUUCUUAAGAAAAUAAUAGAAAAUUAUUUUUAAAAUUUUAACAAUACAAUACAUUCACAUAUCAUUUAACAUAAAAAAAGAAAAAGAAAAAAAAAACCAAACAAUUUUUCAUAAACCAAUUAGCAACUUAAACACAAUUACAAUAAAUUUUGGAAAUGAAUAUACAAUGUAUACAGAUGAAAAUAAACAAUAUAAUACACAAAUAGACAAAAAGCUCUAAUUUUAUAUAAAAUUAGAGAUUUUGUGUGAUAAUUUCAUCAAGCUCAAGAUGUUUUAGAGUUUAGUGCAAUUCUAUCUUAAAUAUUUUGAUAUUUAAUAGUUUAAAUAUUUAUUAUUAAAAAAUUUAUAUAAUAAAAAUUAUACAUACUUUUUUUUAAAAAAAAUUCAAAAAUAAUAUUUUAAAAAAAACUUGUUAAAAAAGUUUUUAAUUUUAAUUAAUUUUAAAAUUUUGUGAUUGAAAAAUAAUUGUAACAAUCACUUGAAAUACAAUAUUUUAAAAAAAAUCCAUUCGAAAUUUUAUUUUAAAAAGAAUUGUAACAAUAAAUUAUAAACUAUGAUUUUUUUUAUAUAAAUCGUAAUAAACGGAGCCAUUUUAUUGCCAUUAAUAAAAUGCUAUAAACAAUUUUAUGUUUAAAAAAAACUUCAUUUAAAACAGAGUGAUUCCAUAUUUUUUGGGCACAGAUCCAAUGUUUUAGUAGAAACUUAGUAAUAAGAGCUUACAAUAGCUUAAUAUUGUAAAUUCAAAACCAUGAUUCACAUCAAAUUAUGUAUAGAAGAUUCACUAUACUUAAUAAUAAUUUCUAUUACUUCAAUUUUUAUGUUUUUAAAAAUUGUGUUGCACAAAAACAUAAAUUUAACAAAGUAAACUUCUGAUGCUAUGAUGAAUGAAGGAUAAUUAUAGCAUUAUUACAACAAGGUUCAAACUUCAAACUACAAAAUAGAUAAUAGUACAUAAUACAUAAUUAUACAUUUCCCUCUCACUUCUAGAUAUGAGGGAAACGCAACUUAUUUUUAAAAAAAAGUGCGUUUGCUAAAAAGCCAAAUUCAAGAAAAACAAAUCACAACAUUAUUGAAAUAUAGCAUAAUUAAUAUAACUAAUAAUCUCAGUGACGAUUGGUUGGGAAAUGAUCUUUGUCUUUAUCAUCAUUUGCCAUUCCAAAGGUUUGUUUUACAGCAUCAGUUGCACCUUGGGCCAUACCCUUAACCUUUUCUCCAGUCUGCUGCAAAAACCCAGCUGAAUUGUCUUUUCCUGAUUGGGCCGUUUCCUUAGUGGACUGGCCCAUUUCUGACCCCUUUUCUUUUGCUCGACCAGUUGUGUCUUGGGCUUUUUCUUUUGUUGCCUGGGUUGUCUGUUGGGUCUUAUCCUUUGCUGCUUGGGCUGUUUGUUGGGUCUUUUCCUUUGCAGCUUGGGCUGUCUGACUGGUUUUGUCUUUGGCGGUUUGGGCUGCUUGCUGGGCUUUUU
rnacentral:lncRNA from 1 species